UACGUAGGGGGCAAGCGUUGUCCGGAUUUAUUGGGCGUAAAGAGCGUGUAGGCGGCCAGACAGGUCAGCUGUGAAAACUCGAGGCUCAACCUCGAGACGUCGGUUGAAACCGUCUGGCUAGAGUCCGGAAGAGGAGAGUGGAAUUCCCGGUGUAGCGGUGAAAUGCGCAGAUAUCGGGAAGAACACCCGUGGCGAAGGCGGCUCUCUGGGACGGCACUGACGCUGAGACGCGAAAGCGUGGGGAGCGAACAGG
rnacentral:rRNA from 1 species